CCUACGGGAGGCAGCAGUAGGGAAUAUUGGGCAAUGGAGGCAACUCUGACCCAGCCAUGCCGCGUGCAGGAUGAAGGCGUUAUGCGUUGUAAACUGCUUUUAUAUAGGAAGAAAAAGACCUUGCGAGGUAGAUUGACGGUACUAUAUGAAUAAGCACCGGCUAACUCCGUGCCAGCAGCCGCGGUAAUACGGAGGGUGCAAGCGUUGUCCGGAUUUAUUGGGUUUAAAGGGUGCGUAGGCGGUUUAUUAAGUCAGUGGUGAAAGACGGUCGCUCAACGAUUGCAGUGCCAUUGAUACUGGUAGACUUGAGUGUGAUUGAGGUAGCUGGAAUGGAUAGUGUAGCGGUGAAAUGCAUAGAUAUUAUCCAGAACACCAAUUGCGUAGGCAAGUUACUAAGUCACAACUGACGCUGAGGCACGAAAGUGUGGGUAUCAAACAGGAUUAGAUACCCUGGUAGUCCACACUGUAAACCGAUGAUAACUAACUGUUGGCUUUUGGGGUCAGUGGUACAGAGAAAUCGUUAAGUUAUCCACCUGGGGAGUACGCCGGCAACGGUGAAACUCAAAGAUUAGACGG
rnacentral:rRNA from 1 species